GAAUCGUGAAUAAAAAUUAAUUAACUAAUUAAUUAAUAAAAAUACAUAAAUAAAUGAAAAAAUAAGAAAAGCCACAAAGGGACAAGCACAUCUUAGUCUAAUCCUUCUUAAACUCAUGUAAAAAUUAGGUUGACUAAUCCUAGAUUGGACUAAAUUUUAAUUUAGUCCACUUAAUCUAAUCUAAGAGAGCUUGCCAAACAUGGAAUAAAUAUUUUAACCAAAAAAUUAGUCUAGUCCUACACUUCAUCCUGCUCCCAAACAUGGCCUCACAGUUUACAUCUUCUUUAGAAUCCUGCACAUAAUUCGUGAAAGAAAAACAAAAUGAGACUCAUGCAGUUUGUAUUGAGCCACAUUUCAAUCAGACAGACAAGGAGAGAAUCCAACCUCGCCUCAGGAUCACCAAAAGCAAAGAUACUCAUAGCUAAUCUAGCUGCCUCCAUUGCAUCAUUGGUACCAACAAGCACAAUGGGAACCUCACGGGACAUCUGAAUAAUCAAAAUAGAACAAAUUAAAAAGAAAAAAAAUAAAAAACAAUAAAAAAUCACCUACAGUUAGAAACAAUACACAAAAAUUAAUGAAAAAAGUAUACUCUUACCAUGCUUGCUGAAACUCCUGUGCCUUCAGUAGGGGACAUGGAGAACCCCAAAAAACUUGCUCGAACUCCUUCGACUGCAGAAGCACGCAUGGGGACGCCGAUAACAACGCCUGAUGUAUACAAAGCAAUUUUUUCUGGAAAGAAAAUUAGAUGUCAGUUAAAAGAAUAUGACAAAGGAGUGCACAACAGAGUACAACUUUGACAAGACAAAUAAUUGAAUCAAGCUUAACUCUCUUGCUCGACAAAGGAGUGCACAACAGAGUACAACUUUGACAAGACAAAUAAUUGAAUCAAGCUUAACUCUCUUGCUCAGGCAAGUCUUCCUAUCCCCUUUUGGUGGGAAUCUUUGAUACUGCAGCCUAUCUUACAACCAGGAUGCCAAGCCAUGGCUUAAAAUGUAUAACACUCCUAAGAUCUAUAAGGUGAAACCAAAAUGUAACUUCGUUAAAACAUUUGGAUGUGCCUGCUUUUCUCAUCUCAGAAACUAUAAUCAAAACAAUCCGUAAUACCACACUGCUAAAUGAGCCUUUUUGUGUUACAGUCCUAGAAACAAAGGUUACAAAUAUAUGGACAGCAAAGGAACUAAAUCUGAGAAUGAUGGUUGCAAUCUCUUUGACUAAACAAUGAGUCAAGAGCCUCUGCCAAAACUCAAGCAGAUACAUCUGAGAUAAAUUUACUUGCAUCAAAUUCUCCACUUCCAUCAGAUCAACAGCCUAUGAACAAUAUUCCCGCUAUCUCACCACAAGCCUCUAGACAACAAAGCCAAAAUCCAUCCUCUGAGACUCUUGAAACACAAGACAUCAUAGACUCAGAACAAGAAGGCCAAACUAAACACAAACACAACCUUAAAGAAACAGUGUCUACCAACAAUCACUAGGUCCAAAUAAAGCACCUAUACACCUAAACCAUACCUAGAAAAUACACAACCACCACAUGAGGAUCCCUUGCCACACUCUACAGAAGCAGCUCUUAAAGAUCCCAAACGGAAAAAGGCCAUGGAAGAGGAAUAUCAGGCCCUUACAAAUAAUGAAACUUGGACCUUGGUACCAUUCAAACCAGGCUUGAAGUUAAGAGGGAAAGAGAUGGGUCUACGAGGUGAAACAGAAACCUGAUGGAUAAGGUGAGAGAUAUGAGGCAAAAUUGGUAGCUAAAGUCUACAAUCAGGUUGAAGGAAUUGACUAUACAGAGACUUUCAGCCCUGUUGCCAAGUCUUGCACUAUGUGAUUACUCUUUAGCUUGGCAGUUCAUUUCAUCUAGGAAAUCAAACAAGUUGAUGUGGACAAUGCAUUUUUGAAUGAGGAACUGACCAAAGAGGAGUUUAAGCCACCAUUAUAAGGCUUUGUCCAGAAAGUCAAACCUCCCUACAUAUGUAGACUAAAGAAGGCUCUCUAUGAACUCAAACAGGCACCUAGGGCAUGAUAUGAUAAACUGAGGCACGCUGGAUGGGAUGCAAGAAAUUGUUAAGACAUAUGUAGACUAAAGGGACAGCAAACUACGGUUUGCGUGCAGCAUGAGAAGAAUUUAAUAGAAAUGCAUACACAGAUGUUGACUGGGCAUGGAGAUUAAGGUGAUAGAAGGUCAGUAGGAGGUUACAUUUAUCUAAUGCUUACAUUCCUCACAAAAUUCCAUAAAUAAGUUUCAUAACUCACCAUGGUUUUUGUACAAAUUUACAUCAAAAACUAACAUUUUUUCGAUUAAAUACUUUCUCAGUUCAUACAAGUUCAAACCAAAGCUCAUAUCCCUCCAUCAUCAAUCAAUAAUUUAACUUCUCGAAUACAGAUCCGAUAUGAAACUUAAUAUAUUUGACAGCACAGGCAGAAAAUACAAAAAUAACAAUUUCUAAAUGCCAAAAGAUAUAGUUCUUUUUUUCCCCAAUCGAAAAUGUCUUAUCUUACAGCACAAAGCAGUCAAUAAAAUAGCAGCAGCAGUAAUAACCUUGAGAGGAUGCAAAUUGGUUUUAAGGUCACGAGUUUACCUAGAAAUUUUCCAGCACUAUGGUCGGACGCAAUGAUUACAUUUCGUCCACUGCAAGAAAGCUUCUUAAUAAGCUGCUCCUUGGUA
rnacentral:lncRNA from 1 species